CAAAGAACUUUGAAGAGAGAGUUUAAGAGUACGUGAAACCACUAGGAUGGAAGCGGAUAGAGCUGACGAGUAGCCAGCGAUAUUCAGCGUGUUGGCUGUCCGGAGUGCUGGAGACUGCCUGUGACGUUGUCACGGGCGCUUCGGGCUUGUCGGUGACGGUCUAGCGUGCAUUAAUCGUCGGUGUUGUGCUGAGAGCCAUGGUGCGUCGCUCCGGCGCCUGAGGUGUUGCCGACCGCUUCGGCGGACGUGUCUUGCCUCGGGACUGCUGGUUCUGUCGUGCUAUGGUGUCUAUGUACAGAGCAGCGCGAAUGUGACGCCCUCGGGUGUCGCUGCUCUAUCUCGGCAUGUGAAGUCGGUCACCUAUCCGUCCCGUCUUGAAACACGGACCAAGAAGUCUAGCAUGUGCGCGAGUCAAUGGGCUUGUUAAACCCAUGGGCGUAAUGAAAGUAAAGGUCGGUUCGGCCGGCUGAUAUGGGAUCCGUUGAGGUUUCGGCCUCGGCGGCGCACCAUAGCCCCAUCCUGAACGCUUGCGUUGGGGUGGCGGAAGAGCGUACAUGCUGGGACCCGAAAGAUGGUGAACUAUGCCUGAGCAGGACGAAGCCAGAGGAAACUCUGGUGGAAGUCCGUAGCGGUUCUGACGUGCAAAUCGAUCGUCUGACUCGGGUAUAGGGGCGAAAGACUAAUCGAACCAUCUAGUAGCUGGUUCCCUCCGAAGUUUCCCUCAGGAUAGCUGGAACUAUGAAUAGUUGUAUCCGGUAAAGAUAAUGAUUAGAGGAAACGGGGACGAAAUGUCCUCGACCUAUUCUCAAACUUUCAAUGGUUAUGAAGUCAAUGUUGCUUAAUUGAACUUUGACAGUGAAUAAUGUGGUUCCAAGUGGGCCAUUUUUGGUAAGCAGAACUGGCGAUGUGGGAUGAACCAAACGUUGAGUUAAGGUGCCUAACUCUCCGCUCAUGAGACCCCAUGAAAGGCGUUGGUUGAUAUAGACAGCAGGACGGUGGCCAUGGAAGUCGGAAUCCGCUAAGGAGUGUGUAACAACUCACCUGCCGAAUCAACUAGCCCUGAAAAUGGAUGGCGCUUGAGCGGGGGACCUAUACUCGACCGUCGCUCAGCUUGUACGUAUUGGUAGUGCGUCUGGCUGCGACGAGUAGGAGGGUCGCGGCGGUUGCGCAGAAGCCUUGGGGC
rnacentral:rRNA from 1 species